rnacentral:piRNA from 1 species
UGCCUAGCUUGACGCCUGCCUCCAUGA